UACGAAGGGGGCGAGCGUUGUUCUGAAUUACUGGGCGUAAAGGGCGCGCAGGCGGCUCUGUAAGUCAGCUGUGAAAGCCCCGGGCUUAACCUGGGAAUUGCAUUUGAUACUCUGGAGCUUGAGUACGGGAGAGGAGAGUGGAAUUCCCAGUGUAGAGGUGAAAUUCGUAGAUAUUGGGAAGAACACCGGUGGCGAAGGCGGCUCUCUGGCCCGGUACUGACGCUGAGGUGCGAAAGCGUGGGGAGCAAACAGG
rnacentral:rRNA from 1 species